rnacentral:lncRNA from 1 species
GUGACCAGAAGGGGUGGAGCAAGGAUACACCUCUUCCCAGACCUCAUUUAAGGGUUGGCAGUGGAGGCAAAGGCAUCUGGCUGGAGAUCCCUGUUUACCUGAGUCUUUCUGAAGGAUUUUCCGGUACAGACAUACCGUUACUUUACCUGGUGACUUGAUACUGAGGAAGUGAACGAGGGGAUGGAGAUAAUCACAAGGGAAACAUCAUGCAAAAUGAUUUAUUUUAGAAAACAAAGACAAUUGUCUAUUUCACAUGCUUACACUGCAGCUAAAGGAAGAUGGGAAACAUCCUGAAAUGAAGUGCAUGAAUUUGUAUUUAAUUAGCCCUUUGCAGCAGGACCAGGUUACAUAUGGAGCUAGGCAAGCUCAAUGCCACCAGAAAUGAGAACAAAAGUGCUGCCAGAUGGAAAACCAAGGAAAAUUAAAUUGAUUUUAUGCAUGAAAAAAAAUAUUCAAUAAGUAAAACAUAUAGAAU